UUUUUUUUUUUUUUUUUUUUGGUAAGCUACUAUAUUUGAUAGGCUUGAUAUAAACAAUAUUCAGCUAGAAACUAGCAAAAAUACCAAAAAAAGAAAAGGAAAAAAUUUAGCACCAAAAUUUCCUAAAUCUUGCAUUAUAGUAAUUGUUUAUGAAAUAGGUAAUGUUUUUUUAUAGUUUUUUGGUUUGGUUCCAUCCAUCCUAUAACAAUUGUGCUAAUUAGCCAUGCAACAGUUUCUCAUUUCUGGUUCUGCAAUUCCAGUGAUGAAUCACUGAAUUGGAAAGGUGAAAAAAAAAAGAAAAGAAAAAGAGUUUUACACUCUCCAUCUCAUGUUUAUGCCAGUUAAGUAAUAUUAAGAAAUUAAAAUAUCUAUAAAUCAAUGAAUAUUUUUUGGCUAAUAUCUAGCUUAUAGAAUGAGAUACAAGAGAAUUAUGAAAUGAGUUUUGGAUAGUAGAUUAUUUUGGAUAAUUUUUUGAAAAAAAAAAAUACUAGUAUAUCACUUUUUUAUGUGAUGUAUGUGAGAUACAAAAGUCGUUUAAAAAAUAUGUCGAUAAUGUAAGCAAAUACAUUUUGACAAAUAAUUCACUAUCCAAACAUACGUAAUUCUUCAACUAUAAUUAUUUAUCACAAGGAAGCUUCUAAGAAAUUGUGCUAAAUAAGCAACCUUUUUUUAUUAUUUUAAGUAAGACCAUUUCUAUGUGGAAAGUAACCUCCAAAAAAUUUUUGUGUUUGGAUUGCAUUUUCCGUGAUUUUUCAUGGAAAAAUUACUGUAGUGAUUUGAUGUAUGUGAGGGAAAAAGGUAAUAGGGAAAUGUGAUCACGGAAAACGACGUAAUUUUUUGACGGAAACCGGCAAUCCAAACAGCAUUCCAAAUUAAUCGGUUCAAACACUUCAAAAUCAACAAACUGAAGUUCGGAUUGACCCUCUACUUCCAACUAAUUUCUUUCUCUGUUUUUUUUUUCAAAGUUUCUAAUAUCUAAGAUAUAAUUUCUUAUCCUUGUUAUUAACCUAGUAAGUUCCCAUCUUCAAUUAAAAUAUCCUUCUUCAAUAAAAGAUAGACACAUAUUCAUGUACAUAGAUACUUGACAGAUUGCAAUAAUUGCAUACGAGUAGGCUGACCUAAACGUUUACCUUCCCACUGAAAUUUCUAGGGAGAUAUAUAAAGUAGAGACCAUUAAGUUUUAUUGCUUCUACUCGUAACCCUUACCACUUGUAGUUUUUUUUUUUUUGGGACAAUAGAAUUCCACAUAUUGCACUAAUGAAUUUAUCGAUUUAUAUAUGUUUUUUAGUUUUUUAAUUUGGUGUAACAUAUUUUUUGACGUGGGUUUGGAUACGUAUUUUUUUUAAUGUAAAUACAUCACAAAGAGUGUUAUAAUAAUUAUUUUAAAAAAUAUUUCAAAUGAUACUUAGUAUAUGACCUAUUUAUACACACUAAUCAGAUUUGAAUACAUUGGUAUUUGGACGGGGAUUAUAACGAAUUUCUUUUUUCAAACAGGGUAAAAAGAAAUGAUGUCAUGUCUUAAAUCCAAAACUAUAUGAUUGAAGAAGAAGAAAAGACCAUUCAUGAACUUGGACCAUUUAGAUGCUUUUCAGUUGAGCUAAAUGCCUUAAAAGUCUAAAGACUCAUCAAAGCUUGACCAAAUCCUCGUUCGACAUCAAACUUUCACCUUCAAGGAUUUGAAAAAGCGAAAGAAAGAAGUUGCGUCUAGGUUAAAAGUUAACUCGAGGACAACAAAACUCAUCAAAAACUUUUAAUUUGGAAUGGGUUAAAUCCACACCUUUUCGAUCAAAAUUCACACCCUUAAUGGAUUAAUAAUUUUUACCAUAUGCAUUGAUAAACUUAAAUCAUUAAUAUUAAAUAUUGUACUAGGUGUAGAUUUAAAUGAAGGGUUUUAAUUAGAUUCAGAGCCCCUUUGAAUUGUUAUUUUUUGGAAUUUUUAUAAAAAAAUAUAUAUUGUAACGAUUUGGCAUGCAUAAGGACAAAGAAAUAAAAUUAAAAAAUGUGUUCAUAAAAAGUAUAAAAAAAAAAUUUUUAAAGAAAAAUUUACAAUUCAAACGAGGCCUUUGUCCCUCCCAAAAACUUUCACCACCAAGUCUUUUUUCUUUUUUCAAAGUAAACCGUCCGAAUCAUAGAAUCAAGAAAACCUAGUACGUAAGCUCCCACAUCACUCGACGUGACCAUCACUAGACACUCUAAUUGAUUUAGUAACUUUCUGUUGCAAUUUCCAAGUUUUAGCGUCCCAAGUAAAAGGCAGCAUAGCUUGAGGGCCAAGCUUUACAUUUAACCCCAGUCAUAUGCAAUUCAGCUGAAGAAAAUUCCUAGGAAAUUAAGAGAAGGUUAGACUUUAGGACCACGACAUAUAAAAUAGUUGUGUUGUGCUGUAUUAAUCAGUUUUGAUGAUGUAUUUGCUUAUGUUUUGUGGUGAUGGAUGAUAGGUAUUUAGUUGGUGAUAUGUUUGGACCAGGGGCAGGAACGUUUGCAAGAGCAACCGUUUCUGAAGGUUAUGUGCAUUUUGCAUACGGCGUAACUUUGUUUACACAUAAUGUAACUUACUUUAAACAACGUGUAAUUUUAGAAUAAAAUUUUGUGGAUUCCACGCAUGUUGUUAAGAACGAGGUACAAGAUGAGAUUUGAAUUGUACAAUUUUUUUUGACCAAAUCUUGGCUGUGAACUGUCAGGAACGAUUGCAUCCUGCCCCUCUUCCGAUAUGUUUGCUGUGUUUUUAGCGCACGAAAUGAAAGAGACAGCUCCAAACUAACAUUGAAGUUUCCAUGCAUUCUAAUGGAUGACCUCACUUGGCCACACCCUAUGAUGAUGAUCCCAUCAAAUUAAGAAAGAAUUGUAUGAUUUGCCAUUCACUACACAAGUUGUGUUUUAGAUAAGCCUAAAAAUUAAGGGAGAGAUAUUAUAUGGUGAAGGAAACUAAUACAAAUGUACACUAUGUAAAUUGUAAGGUAGACAAAAAAAAGUACGAAAUAAUUCGUAUUACAAACACUGCAAAUCAAUUAGUACGUUGACUGAAUAAAUUGUGUGUUGUUAAAUUUCGAGCACGACCGUAUUUGGAGUGCCAUUUUUCUCUAAAAAAAUUUUACAUUUUUGGUGAAUACAUUUUAUAUUCAUUUUUAUAUCUUACAUAUAUCAAAUCGUUACGGUAUAUCUUUCUAUAAAAAACUCUAGAAAAUUACAAUUCAAACGGGCUCUUGAAUGUAACUAUUAUGUGUAAGUCACACAUUCAUUCUCAAGUUUCAAUUUGUAAGUUUUGAUGGAUAAAUAUAACGUUUCGUGGGAUUUAAAUUCACUUCUUUUUUCAUUUCUGCCAUGUUUACAAAAAAAAAGUUAUUUUAACUUUUCAUCAUUCUAUUUCCUUCACUUGUGUCCAUAUAAAACUCUCAAACAAAAAGGAUUUGUAUCAAUUUCUCUUUCUGAUCUCCUCUUAUCCUUGUUUUCAUCCAUCCAAACAGACUAGCAGUGAAAUGUAAGUUCAUACAUAUAUAUAGAGGUGUCAAAAUGGGUGAUUUGGGCGGGUUUGAGUUGGGUAAAAUGGUAAUGGGUAUAAGUGAGUCAACUCAUUUAUAUCCAUUUAAUUAGAUGGGUAUAAAUGGGUAAGUUAAAAAAUGAAUUGGGUAACCCAAUUAUCCAUUUAUAACCCAUUUAUUUUAACUUUUUGUAAACUUAUUUAAAUUCAUUUUUGCAGACUAAGUUAUCAAUUUAUACCACUCUUUGCACCCAUCAUUAGUUUUAAAUAUUUACUUAUAAUGUUCAAUAAGCCUAAUUAUCAAUUUUUUUCCUAUCCGUACUCUAUGUCACAAAAUUACAUACUAUUUAAUAAUUGAAUAAUAAGAAUAUAAAAAUUUAAAUUAAGUACUAUAAAAAUUAACAUAAAAACUUAAUCCAAAAAUUUUGAACCCCUAAUAUUUUUUUCAUGUGUAAAUUUAAAAUUUCAUUUUGGAAAGGUAGGAAAAGAGGCUAAAACUUAUCAUUAAUUGGUAAUGCUAAAAAAUGAGUAAGUUAACAAAUUAAGAGAAAAUAAAAUAAUAAAAUAAAACCAACAAAUAAUAAUAAUAAUGAAACAAACGUAGUUAACAUCAUAACAAAAUGAAAAAUCUGAAAAAAAUGGGCAGGGAAAGAGAAGAGAUUUGGAGGAAACCAAUUCUAAAUGGAUUAAUUGGGUUUGAUGGGUUAUCCAAUAAUACCCAUUUAUUAAAUGAGUAUUAUUGAGUAAUCCAUUUAUACCCGUAUGUAAAACUUUAAGAUACACAUACUCAUCUAUUCAUAGACAGUUAUGAAUAAAUUUAAUUAAAUGGGUUGAUUUGCCACCUAUACUUAUAUAUGACACCUAAAUAAUGCCCGACUCUGUUUAUUUAAUCUAAUUCACCAUGCACGACUGGCAGACCAAUACUGUACAAAUUAAAAAAAAAAAAGAUUUUCUAGUUUUAGCCCAAGUGUCAUUUCUUUCCGGUUUGUAUGCGACCUGCCCAAGAAAGUGAUAGCUCCAUGUAGGGGUGUAAUCAACAUGAAAAGGGCACCUCCAAUGUGUGGCUACCAACUCAUUAAACAGAUGUGCUGUGAAGUUUCAACACAUUGACGAGUAUUAUAUGAUAGUUUUUUUUUUUUUUCCUUAAAAUCCUAUUCUAUCACAAGAAGGGGUCUUGGGAAAGGGGAUGGUGAGGGAGAGGGAAUGCCUCCUGCUGCUAUUUCUAUGGUGUAUCUGUCUACUACUACUGUUCUUUAGCAGAAUUGAGAUGAUUUGAGAUAAUUCAAUUAUUUUUUUAUUUCACAUACAUCAUAUCACAAAAAGUACUAUAAUAAUUAUCUCAAAUAAAUCAUCCAAAUAAACUCUUAUCCAAACAAACUCGAUAUUGGUAAGGUUUGAAUCCCAACCAACACCUUAGGUUCAGUUUGGAUUACAAAUUUCUGGAGUUUUUAUAGAAAAUAUACUGUAGUGAUUUGAUAUGUACGAGAUAAAAUGAUAAUUGAAUAAUGUAUUUAUAGAAAAUACAGAAUUUUUUUUUUUGUUGUGAAAAAUAGCUUUCCAAACAAGGUUAAGUUUCCCUAGUGGCCACUGGACCCUAGUGGUUAAGUAUUAUAUGGUUGCUAAGGAACAAGACAGAUCUCGACCACAACCAACGCAUUUGCUCACGCCAGGCAGACAAAAAUUCAAAAUACAACAUGAAAGAAUACAAGUUAAAAAAAGGCCAAAAAAGAAAAAAAAGAAGAGGAAAGUGACAAUAGAAUUUAGAAAAGGUCCAAAUCUGAUUAUCUAAGCAAAAAGUUGUAUGUAUGUGGCGAAGUGUAUCUUUUCAACCAGUUCAAAGGGAGGGUACCCAGAUGUUCUUAUUCUAUGGCCUCCAGAUAAUGUAAAAUGAGCAACUAAUGGAGUUGAAUUUAACCUAAGCAGCCAUGCACAACCCAGUCUAAUAUUGAAUUCAAACUUCUUUUCAAGUUGAACCAAAAUAGCUGCUCCUUUUCAAUACAAGAAUGGUUCGUUCAAUCAAGGGAUGCUGAGGCCAGCUCUUUGUUCAGCGACUUUUGGCAGUCCACAUCUUCUUCUUUCAUUCUUUUUCCCUAAAAAGCAAAAAAGUAUAAAAGUUCAACGUCCAUUUUCCAAAUUAUUGGCUUUUUUUUUUAUGGCAAAUCAAAACCUUUCCGUUUUCAGAUAUUUGCUGACCAUGUAUAGAGAUGUUUUUUUUUUCCUUUCUUUUAGGACUUCUGAAUUCUGUUCAACCCCUUCCCCUCCAAAAAAAACAAAAGAAAAUCAAUCCCACUUUUUUCAACGUUCAUGCCGGUAAAAGAGGAAAGAAUGGUGAUUAUCCAGCCAUCUAUCUAUAAUAAAAGGACCAUUAUUUUUUCUGCAAACAAUUCUUACCACUUUUUAGGAUUUCUGAACUCGAGUUCUAUGCAAUGUAUACAUGGACAAUUUUUUUUACUCAUUUCGGCUAAACUAGGUAUGACUCAUCCAACUAGCUAGUUUCAAGAAAUCGUUCCCAUGCACAUAAGCCACUAGUUUGCAAUAUUUCAUUGGAAUACAAUUGAUUUCUUUUUUUUUUUUUUGUUCUUUAAGGAUAAUAUUUAUGUGGUCAAGUUCCAAGUGGCAUAUAUAUAUAUAUAUAUAUAUAUAUAUAUAUAUAUAUAUAUAUACUCCCUCCCUUCUUGUUUAACUGACGUUUAAGAAAUUUGCUCUAGUGUACUUUUAUCUGUCGCUUUAUUAUCCCCAUACAGUAUUAAUUAUUUUUUCACAAUUUUACCCUUUUAUCUCUCUUUUCCAAUACAGGGUUCUUAAUUACCCUUUUAGUUUGGUGGGAGUUAGUUUGCAUUGCUUUUGACCUAGUAAAACAGCACCAUUUAGUACUCUAGUGAGAGAAAAUAUGGGUGAAUUGGACAAUUAAUGAGAGUACAAAAGGAAAGUAGUGUACAGAUUUAAGCAAUGAAAAACUUUUCUUAAUUGGUGUGUAAAACUUUAAACGUCAGUUAUAAAAAAAGGGAGGAAGUAUAUAUGACCAUAAAUCUUGAGUGUGAACAUUGAGUCAUUUGCUAAUCAUUACACUUCAAAUACACCUUAAAAGCUGACAUGCCCAAUUUAAUAAAAGUUGUAAUUAUUAAUUAAUAAAACCUAAGAAAGCAUCGUUGGCUUCAAAAAAAAGUUCAUUGUAACGCGUUUCUAUAAACAAAACAACAAAUUGUUUUUUUGUUGAAGUUUGAAACUCAACCCUAAGCAUGUGUCUAAAGUAGUAGUAGUGUACCUAUGCUAUAGUACACAUUUAAUAUGAAUCUCACAUUAGAGUAGUAUCAAUUGAUAAUUAAUUGACCUUGUAUUCCAUGCAGAUGGAUAUAUAAACAAAUUCAUGAUACAGCAACUUUUUGACAAAUCUUAGGUUAUUCAACCUUUUGUAUAGCAGUAAAUAGGUAAAGACCACUUGCUUUCCGCCAAAAAAUAAAAAACCCUUUUGGUUGAAGGAAUAUUCACAGAUCUUGUUUAGUUUACACUGGAAAUAAUUAAAAUUGUAGACAAGUAAAUGUAAAUUCUUGCCACAAGACUCUAGCUGGCUUCAAUGUGGUGCCCUUAAUUAGGCAAGGUCCUUAAAUUGGAUUAGUCAUUGAGGUUAGACACCACGACGCAGGUAAACACUUCAUUAAACUUUUCAUCAAUACUUAAGGUCAGAAAAUCAUUAGGCUGGGUGGUAAAGUGAGAGGGAUCAUAAAUAAAAGAUUCUGAAUUUAAAACCUUCCGCCUAAAAAAAAUAUUAUGCCGUGCAAAUUUAGAAUUUUGCUAAAUCAUGACAUGGCUAAUAGUUAAAAUCCUACACCAAAAAGCCCUAUUUCAUAUUUUGCUCCCCUCAUAUUAUAUAUAACCAACGUGAUGUCAUGUUAAUUUGCCUUUUCACACAAGAGAAUAUUCACGAGCCCCUCCUCCUUAGUUUAAGAUAUUUCAUUAAAGAUCCGCAGUUUUGCAUAAUUCCUGUACUAAUUUUCGGCCUCUUGGUCUCGUUUGCACUAAAUAUAUAGUCACGGAAAUGGGGCAGGAGCGGUCAUCAGCUGUUAAUAGCCAUGAUUUGACCUCAACAAAUUGUGCGGUCCAGAUCACAAGUUGUAUAUCAAUUUUCAUACCAUGUGUGGGAUCCACAAAAUUUUGUACUAAAGUUACACGUACAAACAAAAUUACGCUGUGUGCAAUCAAAGUUACGCACUGUUGAAAAUGAUCAAAACCGUUGGAGAGAUGCAACCGUCCGUACUCCUUGUCCGUAUAGUCACCUGCCUGGCGCUGCAGCUGCAACUCUGCAAAGUCAAACCAACAAAAACCGGGCGUUUUUGAGGCCUGCAAUGUCUCUUAAUUUCCACAGGCCGAGAAAUCAAGAAUCAAGAGAAUAGAAUAAAUGUUUGAAGCCCCCAAAAACAAAAAAAAAAUUAAAGAAAUCGAAGAAAAUCAGACAUUGUGUGAUUACAUCGUCAUGUCCAACUGUCACAUUUCAGAUCUCCAUGCAAUAAGCUGCAAAACCAACCAACUUUUUUUUUGGUACUUUGUACUGUACGGCCCAGUGAUUAGUCUCUUACAGUCCACGUGUCAUCAGGGAAUUCGACCACGUUGCCAUGUUGGUUGUAAGAGGGACAAUUUCUUCCAAUAUUUUGGGCAUUGGACAACUCUACCUCUUCGUACAUUCACGUUGUUGGUUCCUAACAUUAGCUGCCUUUCACGUAAUCUUCACAUAGAUUCAGCUCACGAAAAUUAUUAUUAGAGAUUAAAUGCUUCUGCGAUAUGUUCCUAAUUGAUUUGCCUGGAAAUUAAACAACAGGUAUUAUGAGCCUCUUAAGAUAUGCCAGACUAGCAAAUUUUUGGAUAGCAAAACUUGAUUGAUUUAGUUAUAUGUAUGUAUGUAUAACUAAUAGGAUUAAUUUUCUAUGUACUGAUAGUAUGUACACUUUCACUAUUAGAUGUAUGAAAUAUAAUCUGAAUUUGAAUUUAAAACCUAAAUUUUGCAUAUGUUUAAUGCAUUCAAUCGUGACAGUAUAUACACUGUCAGUGUAUAUAAAUUUACUCUAACUAAUAUCUCUUUUUCUUCUUUUUUCUUUUCCUCAUCCUAUAAUAAGGGGUUCAAAUUUAAGUGAUCAUAAUAUAUAUAUUUUCACAACUUUCUGCUCCUGUGAAAGUUAGCCCAAAAAGGAAAAAUUACUAGUGAAUCAAUUCAAAAAUGUUUAUAUAGGAGUGUUAGGGGACAUCUUCAGCAUUUUACAAAUGUUUCAACUUUUUUGUGGUUUUGAAGCGUCAUUACCAAUGUUUUGCCUGCCAUAUUGAUCAUAGUAAUCCAAGAUCCAAAUAAUCCCAUCAUAAUCCACUUUUAGGCAAAACAACUAUUAAUUAAAUAGCUUAAUUAUUGCCACAUUAAUUAGCUGAUAUUAUAUAGUAUAUGAGUAACUUUUUGAGAAAAGAUUUCAACCACUCUAAUGGCAUCUUAGAUUGAUCCAUAUCUUAAUCAUCACACCAGUAUCCAAUUUGAAGAGUCAUGAUCUCUCCUAGUAUAUAUGAAGUGGAAAGAUGGAUCUUACAUUAGGUGACUAGCAUAAAACCAGUAAAGAAAACCCUACAAAUAAAUAGAUAGGUAUGAUUAACAUAUUAUUUUCUUUUUCCCUUUUCAAUUGUUGGGAGGUGUGGAUGAGCUCAAAGGGUGGCCGCCGGAGAGUAGGGGAGCAAUGCAGGCCUCCAACCUCCAAUCCAAGGAUAUGCAGCAAACCAAAGUCGGAGAGAAGUUAAAAGUACUAUAUUUUUUUCUAGAAAAAGCGUCAAAAGUGGGAACUUAAAAAAGCAUUAUUGGCAACUAAAAAUAGCUAGGUGUUUUAGGUAAAUGAAUCUGGAGCAGAAGCAGCAGCAGCAAUUUCAUCAAAACGCGGUUCGAUCGUCGCAUGUCUGCAGUUGUAGUUGCCCUUUCACCGACGAGAGUGUGCAGCCAUGAGCCAGCUAAUAAGAAAGAUAGGUAUCUUGCACCUUGAUUCUGCUACUGGAUUUUAGUAUAGUAUUGCUGAAGUUGGGACUUCGGGAGUUGAAGAGUAAUGAGUACUAGAACGACCAACCAACCAACCAAAGUCAGAGACAUCAGUCUCCACUUUCCUUUUUCCUCCCACAAUUGUCUACAUUGACUUUGAUGGAUCAAAUUAUUCUGCCGUGACUCGCACCUUACCACUUAAUUGUGGCGGUUUCCGACGGAUUUUUCGUCAGUUAGGUCCUCCUCUCCCUCUCCCUCUCUCUCCCCUUACAUUAGGUUAGAAUAGGUUAUACUAAUAUUAUCGUUGCACAGAAAAAAAGAUCAAACUCUUCUACCGUUUUAGUACAACUACCUAGUUCCUACCAUUUUUCUGUCAAUUUUGUCAACCCCAAAAAGGAUAGGAGGAAUACUUCUUUGUAUUUUUGUUCAAAGGAAGGAAAAAUUAAGACAAUUGAACUCAGAGAGAGAGAGACUACAACUUGGAAUUAGUAAAACUUUAGUGAUGUUCUUUAAUUUAUGCCAAAUGUCAAAACUUGCACUUGAUGCACUCUUCAUCAAAUCCUAAAACGCGGAAGGUGAAUUUUAUAUUUUAGACUUCAUACACAGAAACCGUAUUGUUAAAUUCUUGAGAGUAACAACUAUAUUUGUACUCUAGGGCUUGGUCAAGAAAAUCUUGUCAGAAUCUUGUUCACUUCUGAGGAUCCUCUAAGCUUUUUGUAAGUAGAGUUUGAUUCGGUCGGAUUAUCAAUUGGUUUCCUUUGUGUGUUUAAUUAUGUUUUGGUUAGUAAUUGAUUUAAAAAUAAUUUUGCCAUUACAGUCUAAUUCAUUCAUGUAGUUUUAUGUCUAUAUUAAGGUCUUAACCAACUUAUGAACCAAACCCAACUUUCCCUCGACUGGACUCCUCUGGACUCAACUUAAUUUUAAUAUAGUUAACGCACCCUAAACGUCAAUUACUUUAUUCACGUUAGAAGUACGUAAUCCAUCAUUAUCAAUAAAAUUUUCUGCCUAAAAAAUAAAAGAGAAUUAAAGCUGAUUUGACUCCAUCAGCUUAGCGUGCAGAGACAUCUUUGAAGCUUAUUUUCUGCCAACUUAGGCCGCCCUGUUUGAUAACCCGGUUCAGCAUUUAAAAUUAAUGGAUUCAGAUUUUAACAUAUUCAAACCGUUUGAUAAUGAAAAAUUGAACAUCUGAAUUAGUUAGGUAACACUGAAUUUUACAGGCAAAACUUGCUUUCAAAAUUAAGUGAUAAACUAUUUUCACUUAUCACUGCAUGUGAUAUGCACUCAAAUGUAUUAGAUUUACUACUUAACAAUUCAAUAAUUUAAUGAAUUCAUAUUUCAGAUUUCAGAUUUUAAACUUCAAUUUUAUAAACGCACCUUAGUGCGAAUCCCUAAAUUCCAAAAGUUUACGUCAUAGUAACAAAAGUGGGCAUUUGAGUUAGCUUCAUGCAUGAACUAGAACAACAUUUCGAGGGACCCAAGCCUCCAGCGUAGCCAUGACCAAUAACAAUCAAGAAUGAAAUCUUACAACUCUUUUACCAGAGUAGAGUCAACAUCAUCGUCCUAUUCCUCUAUAUAUAUGUGAGAGGUAUAUGGCCCCAUGACACCAAAAUUUCUAUGUAAGGUGGAAAAUGAGGCACCAAAUAAUGCUAAGUUAUUACCAGUGUUAAUGCUCACGCGUGACGACCAUCCUAUUCCCAAAUUCCUGUCAAACUAGAAAAAAAAAAAAAGUGCAGCAUUUAUCUUUGAUUGGUCGGUCUACACAAGGGGCCCGUUGACCUUUUCGAUCCCAUUUCUUGAUUCUCUUCUCCCACACGAAGGAAGGAAAACACACGCACACAGAGGCACGCACACUGAAGGUGUAGGGUGUUGACUGGGACAGAAUUAAAUAAAUCUUGUCAAACAAGUAUGAAACAUAUAGUAGUAGUAUUAAUUAGUCCAAAUACAGCAAAGCAGAAGCAAAGGGGAGCUUGUCGGUUAAGCAAUUCUUGGUCAAUGCAAUUACCUCCAAUUGACAGACUUCAGAAAUUUGACAAUAUUUUCUUUGCAAGAAAGCAGAAACUGUCAAGGUUCUUGACGUCAAAAGCUUUUUUUUCACACUCUUUUACUUUUUCCUACUUGCUGUUUUUGCCUUUUUUUUUGGCGGUUUUGCUUCCCGACGCGACGCGUUUUCAAGGUUUGGAUUGGGUAGAGGCCCAGAGAGCCAGACCUCCAAGGUAACAAGACCCAAAUUCCGUAAAUUUGUCGGAUGUCAUAGCGCCAGGCCUGCUUGAGUAUUCACUUGUACUAUUAAAGGAGUAAUUACAUCCAAGAAAUUUCUUACCUGUAUUUUUCGUCCAAAAUUUUCUGAAAUAUUCAAAGUAGUUUAGUUUACACCGAAUUCGCAAUAGUUUAAUUGAAUCCAUCCCCAUUUCCCCUUUCCCUCCCUCCCCCACAAAAAAGCCUAAAAUAUUUUGUUGAAUUUUCUGAAAUAUUUUCGAAAGCAGUUUAACUUCCACCGAGUUCUCAAUAUAGUUUAAUUGGAUCCAUCCCCAUCCCCAUCCUCAUCCCUCCCCCAAAAAAAGCUUCAAAAACUUUAUCCAUAGGGUUUGUUUAGAUGUCUCAUUUUUUCAAAUAAUAUUUCGCUUGCAUCGUAAACAUAUAUUUCAACCUACUUUUAUAUUCUCAAUCACCUUUUUAUCUCAUAUACAUCACAUCAUAAAAAAUGUUACAAUAAUAAUUCUAAAUAAUAUCUCAAAUAAUCUCCCAUCCAAACGCAUUAUGAUACUAUUAUUUAGUGGUGAACAUAUUUUCUAGAAUUCCAUUAAAGUACCUUAUUCAGCAAUACAGAAAAUUAGCACUCAGAUACAUAUAAGCACAAGCACUAGUAAUAUAUAAAUAUAUGUAAUAUAUACAUAUAUAUAUAUAAGCACAAGCACUAGUAAUAUAUAUAUAUAUACGUAUAUAUUACAUAUAUAUAAGCACAAGCACUAGUAAUAUAUAUAUAUAUAUAUAUGUGUAUAUAGAUAUUUAUAUCAAUACCAGCCUCAGCAAAUACUCUAAUUUUAUACUUCAAAUACUCAUUUCUUGACUUGUGCUACUAGUCUACACAUGCCCAAAGUUACCCUCAUUGCAAUUUUCCCAUAUCCCAAUGCCAACCACCGCUCCAAACUCCAAACAAUUGCUCCCUAUUUUAGUGCCUCCACGAGCAUCAUGCCAAUUAUCCUUCCCAGUUGCUUCUCCCCUAGUUUUAAAGUUUGGUAUUCCCUUCCCCACCCUGUUCUAUCAUUAGGCUGUCAAGGAAUACUUAAUAUAAUUCAUGUUUAACGCAGCAAAUCUUAUUUGCAAAUACGAAGAUGAUACAUACAACCACUCUUCUCCUUUCUUCGAACUCUUGGCAUCGGAUAAGGAUUAAGGCUGGAUUUAACAACUUGCCAUGUGAGGUUCAAUGUCUAAUCACCAAACCUAAUCAGCUUUUUCAAGUAGGUUUAAGAAACCACAUGUUUUCCACUCCUGUUUCAGUAAAAGUCAAUGGCAUUGGAGUCUCCUCAUGCGGACAUUUCCAUAGCUGGAAAAAUUCUGCAAGUUGCUCCCCACAAGAAGCUCUCCCAUGAAUGGGAGGAUUUUGUACCAUGCUGAGGAGUUUGACUUUAAGCAAAUUCUCAUAGGAUGCCUCAUUUUUGACACCCUGUAGACUUCUAAUACCACAGAGUCAUAGCAGUGUGCUGAACUAGUAGUCAACCACCAAGUACAAAUCAAUAGAUUUUAAGUACUGGACCUGUACUGACAGCUACAAUUCAACAUGGACUAUACAUGUACAUAUUUAUAUGUAUACAAACAUGUAAACACACUAAAAAAUAGGGAGCAACCCUGUAAAAGUUAUGAACUGAAUACUUGUGAUUUUGCUAAAGGUAUAUGUGCACUUCAACUUUCUUUAAGGUUUUCUAUCAUACAGUCAAAGCCUAGGUGAUGAUUUGUUUAAAAAGAUGCAAAAGCCAGGAUGGCUCUGGGGAUAUUAUAAAAAGAACAAUUUGCACUAGUGUCCAAGCUAUUAUCCAGGGAUAGGUUAGUGUAAGCCAAUCUGGUUAGGAAGAAAACCACCUGCGCCUGCCAAAUUCAUAAACCACCCAUACCAUAAUGCUUGUUUACUUCAUUAUUAAACAUGAAUUGAUCAACCAGGGGGGUUAGACUAAAAGAAAUGGCAACUACAGACUUCUUGAUUCCUAUGGAUCAGCUUUUUAGCACCUGCUACCCUGUCUGGUACAUGGAAAUAUGUUCUUCCACAUCUUGAUUUCUACCGGCAUUAUCAGGAAAUGGCUAUUAUGGGCUUAUUCAGCACAAGAGAUUAGAGAACUUGCUGGGAAGGAGCCUUGACAGCAGAGCACUGAUUGGACUAUUUAAGCCUACUACCACAUAGCUCGUAUUGGCAAAUAAACUCAAAAAUAUUCAAUGUAGCCAAAUGAUACAGCAUCCUCUACUUGGAACAAAAAAUGCAACAAUGGCACAGGAAACUGGUUAGGGACUACAUUUUUUUUUUGUCAACAUGAUAGAUACCAUGCUACAACUACUCCUACGCUACACUAGGAGGAAGGGAGAGGACCUAAACAGGUCCAGGGGAACCCGCUUAGGGACUACAUGACUGCACAGAAUGGGUGGGAAAUUCACAUUCGAGUAGAGACAUUAAUAAUCCAAAUCAAACCUAGUCAACAAACCAGCAUCUGCACCAAAUCAACACCUUGCCUAAUGGAUUGAAUAUUCAAAAGAACUUCUAUUUGCCUCAUAAGAUGAGACUAGUUAUGAGGAUUGCCUGAAGAAUGCUAUAAAGAAAAUUGAUAAUGCUCCCAAAAAAAAAAAAGCAUCAAGGAGAAACCAUUUUGGCAAAUCAGUUGAACCUUUGAAGAUUUGCAACUGCUUGCAUUAAGACAUAACAUGUUCAACGAAUAGGUGGUCCUUCCACCCCCCCAAACAACACAACCAAAAAAAAAAAAAAAUCUCGGUCACUUUUACUUUGUCAUUAUUUUGUAAUCUCCAGGUCCAGGGACAGUUACAAGUCAUUUUAUCAUUCCUUUGGGUCUCUCAAUUUCCACUUUUAUUGGCUUCAUUUCUUAAGCUUGUUAUUUCCUGCAGGAGUUCCACUGCCGUUAGCACCCCUUUUAGUACUCCUUCAGCUAAUCUCUCAUUGUUUUUGCACACUAUACAACAUAUAUUAACAAGCACUAGUGGGUGGAAAAUUUGCAUCCUUUACAUCUAAAGUCUAAACUAAACUCACCCAGCACAGAAAAUCAAAUCUUCUAACACAAAACUCCGCAGAAAGAGAUAGACUUCAUUCUCCCCUUUUAGACAUCAAAAAAAUGGGAAAAGACAAGUACGGGAGUGGCAGAGAGCAUGAGCUAUUAAAUAGCCAUAUGUCAAGAGCAACUGUUCUAUUUUUCGACAAGUUUGCUCACAAUAGCAUUUUGGUUUCGAAGGGUUGUCUUCGACCAUUUUGCGUUGCUCUUUUUCCAUCAACAUUUAGGUAGAUUCCCUAAAUGCAGAUGGAGAAACCAAGGUAAAGAAAUAAAAAUGGCAUUAUCAGCACAAGCCAAUAUAAAGAAAACACAAAGAUGACAUCAGCCCACAGGCUACAGCAUCCUUAUGCUUCCUGACUAAUUGUUUGUAACAGAUACUAUUGAUGAACAAUUCAUGCCAGACACUACAGAUUUAAUUCUUGGGAAUUCGUGGAAGAAAGAUGGCACAAAAAGGACCAAAAGACAGGCACAUCUGGAGGAGGCACAUCCAUAAACUAGAACAUUAAGAUCCUCAGUCAUCAUAUCAUCAUAUUCAUAUGUUCUCUACAAUCAUAUUUCACACUAAACAGCAAGUUUAUUAUAAUAAUCCUGCAGACAUACCAAUAACAAAUCCCUAGUUAAGAUCAUUUCCGGAUUGAAAAAAGUUUAGUACUGUGACCAUUGGUGGAAGUAUUUUGUUCAAACCACAACCAUAUAUAUCAACUCGCUUCUCUUCCACUAAUCUCAGAUUGUAGAUUACCUUUCAAUAAAUACAUUUAGAACUCUGAUAAGAUAGUUUGAAAUGAAUUUAUGAAUGGUGCAUGCAUAUACACUAUGGGGUCUGAAGUUUGGAGUCCCUAAUCUGUAUAUUGUGGACUCCCAGAAACCAAACUAUCAAUUACUACAAAGAUUGCCCGCUCAUUAGAUCUAAUUAGUGUAUUGAUAUAUACAACCUAUCCAAUGUUUGAAAUACCACAGAAAUGUUGAAUCUCAGGUAGGCUAUCAAUACCACAAGAUCCAAACAGGGCACACACAUAAAACUACUAAACUUCCUUUAACUAUAAACCCUUAGACAUAAAGUUUUGAUGACAAACCAUGACCUUACAAGUUCAAUUUGCAAAUAGUAGGUCUAACCACCAAGCAGAACCAGAUACUCAAGUUUAAAUGAAGGACCUCCAUCAUAUUGAAUAAUCAGACUCAUCAGAAUCGCUUCUGUCUGGCUCUCCACCAGCUGUCCCAGCCUCAGGUACGUCAGGCUUCUCUGGAGGCUUAGGUUCCACCUUCUUACUUGCAUUACGAGCAUUUUCCUCGCCAUCUUCCUCAUGCUCAACGGCCUCAACAUGUAAGUUAGUCAAGGAAUAACAACAAUAAAAGUAUACACUAUGAAGAAAAUCUAUGUGAGGAAUGCACAGCUUCACAGUAUCCAUGAAAUUCCACAAUCCUCUCAAGUCACAACUGUAAAUAUCAAAAGAAGGCGGAAUUCUGAAUUCCUUCUUCAAUUGAUGCGCAUGACCUCCCUGCUACAUCUAACAGUGAAACGAACAAAACAAAGUAUGAGAUUGGACAAACAGCCAGAAGAAUGAAAAGUUAUCUUGACAAGUUAAGAUUCUAAUAUGCAAGUACAACAACAUGAUCAUCUGUGCCAGUAUGAACUAAAGAAAAUUUAAUAAGUCGCUCAAGUCUCAAUAAAUCCAUAAAAGCUGACUACUUCAAGUUCUGAAAGCCAGAAUAACUGGAAGGAUAUCAAUAUUCUCCGCUGUUCCACCAGCCAUAAUAUUCUGCAAAUCUUUCUCAGCACGCCGGACCAGCUCAGGCUGCAAAAUGACAGACAUGUAUCAUAACUAACUCAAAUAAAUACCAAUUUAAUAUUAGCACACGAUGUUUAACUUGUAUACCUACCCAUGCAGACAUGUCUACAGUUACAAAAUAUGUAAUAGACACUUCAUGCCUAUGAACAACACUACCUAGGGGCAUGGGAAAAGCCAUUACGUGGCACUAUCUUACAAAUUGUUUUUUCCCAUUGUAGGCUUUAAUCAACUGUUAUUGCUUACUCUUAGAGAAAUUUGAAAGGUAAGGUGAUGGCAUCAGAUGGAAAACUCAUGCGAUAGUCUCAUCUAUUUCUGUCCCUUUCUUACACCCAUUGCAGCCAUAAUGUAUCAUUGUUUGUGUCUCUGUCUUAGUUGUCCGCAUUUUUGUGUGGGUGUCACAGAGAGAGAGAGAGAGAGAGAGAGAGGGAGGAUACUGGAAGAAGAGGCAGUUCACAAGGCCACAUACAUUUAGAUCUGGUUCUCUGCGGAACCUUCGCCUUCGAGCAUCCCUCAUCGGAGGGGUAAGGCCAUGUCUGUACUCCACCUCAUCUGGAACACUGUCACCUUCCUCCUUCACCAUAAUCAUCUGCAAGACAUCACAAAUUUUACAAAAUUGAACUAGGAACUCUUCAGAUGCCAUGUAUGUUACAAAGCAAUAAUUGGCAAGCUGACAGCAUACUUGACCAAUGUCUGCACUUUUAAUCAGCACGCUAUCAUCAUAGGUUUUGUAUGACUCCACAAUGCCAGGUAAAUCCAAAAGAAAUGCAGGGAAGUGAUCGUUUCCUAUUGAAAAUGUGCCACUUCUCCCAUCCUCUACAAAAUAUCAAUCAAGCCCUCAAGAAGAAGAAUGAUGAAGAAAAUAAAAUUCAUGUCAACCAACUACGGAUUCAGGAGGACUUUUAAAUGGUGGCAGUGUAACAAACAAUAACAUGUACAACCAUAUUAACUCAUGAAAUUUCACAGAAAUUCGUUAACUUUUGUCCACCAAGUCUAAAGUGGUCCAAUUCUAAUUUUUCAUGCUGGGACAGUUGACAGAAAAUGUUCAUUCAGAUGCAAUUUCAUCUGUUACAUUCAGAAUCUUGAAUUUGUGUGAUUUCUUGGACUGACAUAUAAAUAAUGUUUCAACCUCAUUGUUCAUGAUUAGACAAAGUUGUGGAUUCACUUGAAUGCAUUUUAAACAUGUAUAACCCUCCGUGAAGUUGAAAGACAAUGAUUCAUCUCAUGAUAUCAAUCAACUCUGAAUUAACCUUAGGGGCUGAUUUGUUUCCAUCUGGGAGUCAAAAUUGGAUGGGAGUGAUAUACUAGAGAAUCUGCAUUGGUGUUAUCAAAGCCAACAAAGCAUUUGAUUGAAAAUUUAGGAAUUGGUUUGAAGUCUUUUUUUCCCCCUGAAAAGUUUCCUUUAUGACUCCUAUUUCUUAAUUCUUUUACCAUUUUUCUUCCUUGUCCCCUUUCCCAGUAGCAAUGACCAGUCUGCCUUCCCCUACUCCCCACAAGUAGUGCGAGACUACCACCAGCAACCACCACAGCUAUCUGAAGAGGCCAAUUGUACACAAUUCAACUCCUUUUUGUGAAAAACAAUCAAAGAGAAGUCAUUGAAAAUCAUAUAAAAGAGACUAACAAUAACACCAAGGGUGAAGCAUGCCUCUUCAACCUCCAUACUACACAAAAAAUAAACACCACUCAGCUCCCUAGACCUCCUACAUCCAUACAAUUUCCAAAAGACUACAAAAAAACUACAAACAAAUAAUCCAAGUCCCAAGAUUGAAUCACAACCCAUGCUAGAUCCACCGACAUCCAAAUAUAACAAAUUUAUUUGUAGAUAUCAAAAUGCUUCUUCCAUUACAUAAAUUGAGAAUCUACUGAACUGUUGCAUCUUUUCAAGAAAAAUAUCAAUGGCCACUACAGCAAUGUUACAACUAGUGAAGAGCCAUGACAAGCGAAAAACGAAGAGCCAUGACAAGCAGAAGAGGGGGAGGGAGAGAGAGAGAUUACAGGGGCUGUGGGCAUAAAGUGAGGAGUACAGAUGGAAAAAGGAUUUAUCUCACAGCCACAAGGAUGACGGAAAUUGGAAAAUGCUGUUUUUCUGACUACCUUUUGUAUUUUAUCCAUUUCUUUGUAAAAUUAGUCUUUCGACAUCAAGUAUGGGAAUAAUUUUGAAAUUGCCCCAUUUGCAUAUGUCCAGGAAAUGAAAGCAACAUACCAAUUCAGAUAAAAUCCUUCCAAGCACCAACAAUAUGCAUCAUUUAAAUAAAUACUUUCUAAUUGCUUGGCUCAUACUCCUUUACCAAAUGAACCUCAUAUCGGUAAUCUGAUUACAUUACUAUUCCAUCCUCCCAAUACUGUCCCAUAAAAACUGGUUGUGGGUUAAAGAUUUGCAUAUUUGUAACCAGAUUUUCAUUUUAACAUCUCUAACACAGAUGAGAUCUUCACUGAAAAGACAUGAAUCCUAUUUCAAUUGAACUGAGACUGUUUAUGGCAGUUUAAGUGGCACAUCAUGUGUAUUUGCUUUCCUGCUUCCCACUUUCCAAAAAGGUUCAGAAAAAAUGGUCAAGGGCACACUUCAAAUAUAAGAACAAGAUCCUAGAAGAACAGCCACCGCUCCAGAUCAGGUUACUAGUAAAUAAUUUAGUGUGGACCAUAUAAGUCUCUGUGUGUGUGUAGAGAGAGAGAGAGAGAGAGAGAGAGAGAGAGAGAAACGGAAAAGAUAUCAUGCAUCGUUCAAGACAAUCAGUGAGGCUAGGGAUAGAAGAAAAAGAAGCCUAGUUGCGCCUCAAUUUCUGAAGAGAAAGCGAUAUAACAGAGAACAGAGCCAAGAGUCAGAAGCAAUUGGUGGCCGGGUGAAUGUGCAGAGCAAGUUCCUUAAUCUCCUAACUACCAAAUUUUUCCAAAGAGUUAUAACUUGACACCAACAGGAACAGCAGCAAUUAAAAGAAGGUCCAACAAUAUCCUAACAUACAUUGCCUUUGCCAUUCUCUGAUUUUCUGUAACCUUAUCUACUAGGAUGCUCAAGGACACUGAUGAAAAAAAAGAAAUCACCAAAAGCUCAAACAACUAAAUUGGAAAGAUUCAUUAUACACAUUGUAUAAAGGACGACUAAACCAAGUUUGAGGUAGAUAAACAAUCCCUUUUGAAGAUACAAGUGGCAAAUAAGUGACCAUCUUUUAGAUUAAAAUGACUACUCAAAUCAUUGUUCAGCGAACCAAUCAACCACGCUGUGAGAUUCAAAAACAUGAAAAAAACCAAAUGAAAUAUACAUGCAGGUGUGAGUAAAUUAAACAGUGCCAACACUAACAUUGAUGAACAUCAGGGAACAAUAGAUCGAAAUAAAUUAUAAAACACUACAAAACGAAGGAACAAGCAGCUCAGCUGCACCAACAGAAGCAACAUCAGCAGCGAGCAGAAACUAUAAAAGCUCCAAAAGCAUGAUUGACAUGCCUUAAUCCGAACAAAGAAGAAUCAUAACAAUGUUCAGUAGAUGUUCUAUACAAACUAGUCAAACCAAAUAAUUAAAUUGCACUUAUUCCUAAUCAAAAUCCUUUCUUGACGCUUCUUAUAUAAACUCUUAAUUGAUGAACACAAAUUUAAGAAUAGAGAUGGUAAAACAAAAGUCGCUCACCGGAAAAGGUUAAAUCCAAUGACUUGUCAUCAGAAGACGAAGAUGCGUUUUCGGUUAAAAGCCGGUCUAUCCGUUCAGCUACCGAAGGUGGAAGCCGAAGUAUAAAUUGCUCUUCCAUGCCUGCAUACCCAACCAAAAAAAAGAAGAAGCAGCAGGAAAAAUCAACUGUCGCAAUUAUUCGAAUAGUUUAUUUUUGUGGCUCAUUGUUCUUGAUUUCUGCCACAGCAAAGAAAAGGGGAAAAAAAAGCAAGAAGAAUUAGUGUAAAAGAACUGGUAUCUGGAUUCAGGCACCCGUUGGUCAGUUACCUGCAGAGAAGGAUGGAGAAGAAAUUUGGAGGAGAGGUAUGAGAAUUUAGAGGAGCAAGUGAAAUUAGUAGUUCGUAUUUCUAAUUUGGAAUAAUAUCAUAAAUCUCCCCUGAGGUUUACCUUAAUAUCACUUAGCACCUCUAUAUGUUUAAAAGUAUCACUUACCUUUCUUACUUUUAAAGCUGUAAAUGAGUUGAGUCGAAUUGAAUAUCUUAAGUUUGAGCUUUAUUCGUUAAUCUAAGCGAACAAGGCUCAUAUUCAUUCGAUAGCGUCCGAGCUCUAAAUGUAUAUUCGUAUUCGACUCGUUAAGCAAAAUUCUAACUCAAAUUCGAGUUCGACCUUAACUCAUUUAUUAUAAACGUGCCAUUCGCGAACAAUUAGGCCCAUGUCCGCGGAUGAUUAAGCCUGGAAUUAGGAAUUAGGAAUACAAUAUGAACCAUAAAUUUUGUGAAAUGACAAUUAGACCCAGACUCGUUAGUGAUCAUUUAAAUUAGCGAAAGAAUUCCUGUUGUUUGAUUACUUAUCGAGCCAAAAUAUUUGUUUGAACUCAACUCAUAUAAAAUUUUCGAAUGAGUCAUUAUCGAACGAACAAGUCUAAACGAACCAAGAACGAGUCGAGCAUCUUAAGGAAAAAGCUAUCUCAAUUAUUUGAUUUGCCCUUUUUUUUUUUCUCUUUUUGGCUUAUCGCUCUUGAUUUCUAUCACAGAAAAAGAAAAAGAAAAAAAGAGCAAGAAGAAUUAGAUGUAAAAGAACUGGUAUCAAAAUUCAGGUACCCGUUGGUCAGUUACCUGCAGAGGAGGACGGAGAAGAAAUAUGGAGGCGGUGAAUCAGAAUUUAGAGGCUGCCAAAUUAGUAGUUUGCCUUUUUAAUUCUUUAAUUACAUGAAAUAACCAAACCAAUACUUGGCUAGGGAGAGGGGCAUUGUGGUCCGUGCACCUGUUCUUGAAUGAUGGGUCAUUUUACAAUGUGGUUUACCAUGCCGUAGAAAUAACAGUGUGACGAAAAAGAAAAAAAAAUCCAUGAGAUUUGUGAAUUGUGAUGUAGCACAUUGUAGGUUAUCUCCUUCAAUACAUUAUAAUUCACAGCAAACAAAAUCUACACUUUUAGAGAUGUUAUAUUCAGGUUUUGUUUUUCAUUUUUUUUAAGCGAGAGGACUUACAACCUGCAUGUGCUGGUACGGCUGUUCAGUGUAGUCUUCUUUUGCCUCUCUCACUUCUUCCCUAUGCAAAUGACCGAAAGGAUAAUUCCUCAAGACUUCUUGAAUUCCUCAAGACUUCUAACUUGCAACAUUUUUCAUCUUACCGUUCAGCAGAAAUGCAGAUAGCCAAAUUGCGGAAUAGAGAUGAUUGAGAGCCAUUGUUUGGAUACACAUUCGAAGCUCAGCAGAUCUUUUAUGGGUACCUUUACUAAUAUUUCCUGCAAAACAUCUUCAUUGUUGGUGAGUUCUUCGACUUGUGAACUGGAAUUAGGCAAUUCAUUAAAACCCUUAUCAGAAUAGCAGUCUUUGAGUUCAGGAACAAAAGCUGGAUGUGCUGGGUAGGAGUUGGAAUCAUCAGUAAAUGUGGAUUUUUCACCAGAAUCUGUUUUUUAAAUCAAUUUACAGAUGCACUAUUUGCAUUUUAUUCCUUUUUUUUUUUUUUGUUUCUGGGAUGAGGAAUUGAAUUCCACUGGCCACAUAUCAAAUGACAUGUUAUGCAAUCUUGUAGGAGCAGUCACAGUAAAAUAUGUAUCCUGAAUAAUAUGAAGAAGUACAAUUCUGUUCAUCUGAAGGAAGUCAAUACCAACAUUUGGAUACCAGAUAUUAAUACCAUGUAAAUGCAUAUAAAACUACCAACUCAAAUAAUCUGAAGAAGUUAAUACAAACAUCUCUUCAUUCUGUAUGAAAUUUAAAAAUUGUUGUUUCAACCCAAAAAUUAGCAGGAUGAAUUACUAAGGGUGUGAUUUGUUCAUCUUCAUUAGCUCUAGUAAGAGAAUGAUAUUUUCAAUGGGUUUUAAGUAUUUGUCAAAAAAGACCAAAGAUUUAAGAUCGUUUUGAGGAUCAAAAUAUUAAGGACAAUUUCAGUAAAAACUGAUUUAGUAGACUUCAAGGAAAUUAAAAAAAAAAAAAAACUGAAGAGCAACAGAGGACCUCAUCUUACAAUUUGGAUCUUUAACAGUUGCCAUUGCAAAGAAGUACAAAAUAACUAGCCAGCGGAGAACAAUUGGCGGUCAAGUUUUUUUGCCAAGUCUGUCUACUACGAGUUUUUUAAAAACUUUAGUUACAGUAACCUCAAAAAAAAUUUUAAAGUUUUUAAACUAUACGCUUUAAAAUAUUCAAAAAUUUAUACACUUCAAAAAUUUUUUAAAAAUUUCUACAGUAAAGUUUUAGACAAACACCAAAAAAAACUUACUUGUCAUAAAGUGGAAGUAUUCCAUUUUGUAUCCAAACCAACAUCUAUCUCAUCAUCUAUGAUUAAACAAUCUAAGCAUCCAAUAAUGAACAAUCUAAGUAUUCAUUAAAGAUCACGAAAAUUGAUCAUUUAACAGGUCAUGCCAGAGAAUGCACUAAGCCAGAAAAAUGAAGUAAGAAGGAAAAACUUGUCAUUUGCUGUAAGAAGGGAAAAACCAAAUAUUACAAUUAGCAUAUGCAAGAAAUGGCUAAUCUGCCAAUUAAUCCAAGGCUGUAAUUUAGGCUUUAAGUACCUCUUGAUGAUCGACCUCCUGCUUAUUAAGAAGUAUCUGAUUUUGUUCCCAGUUAUUUCAAUUAUCGUAAAUACAACCUUGAAUACCUCUGAUUUCCUCGACCAAAUGGGAAAUACUCCAAAUGGGAAUGAUAAACACAUGCAAACAAUAAACAGCCUUAAACCCAUAAAACUAAUUGAGCUACUUUGGAGAAGGCAGGAAGUACCCUGGGAGCUUGGCAAUCAGGAAGAAAGAAACGAAAAGAGAAGAAAUUCUUGAACACUGUGGAGGGUUGAAAAGGGACCUCUCUCUUGCUUGAAGAGCGCAAGAAGACUACGAGUUCGGCUCACUUUGUGGUUUGUUGAAGAUUUCAACGGACUCUUCAUUAAUGUUUAGUUGUUUACUGCAUUUCCUCCCCACAGCACUUUGUUAAAGCUACAAAUUGAAUAUUUAUGUUUGGAUUGAUACGGUUUUGUUUCGAAGUACAAAAAUGGUGGCAUGGGGCCUCACAAAAAAUUAAUUUGGAGCUGAGCGUUGUCCACGCUCAAUUGAGAUUCAAACAUUCAUUUAAGACAAGAAAUGAUUGUCGGCCCGGUGUCAUUCAUGUCUUCUCACACAAAGGAGGACAUAAAACUCUGUUUGUUUAAGAGAAAAUGGUGUAAGAAAGUAUGUCACGGGAAAAGUGAAAUGAGGUGAGUAAAGGAAAAGGAAACUACAAUUUUCUCAGAUGUGUUUGGCUAACGGGAAAAUAAUGCAAGAAAAUAUAAAUUCUUAUGUUUAUUUAGCUGAAAAGUCAAGAAGAAAUUGACUAAUGCGUUUGUUAAUAGAAAUAUUCAAUAUUGAACUUCUUCAUUUCUAGUAUUUAAUAUAUAUAUAUAUAUAUAUAUAUAUAUAUAUAUAUUAAAGUUGUUUAUCUCAAAAUUAAUCACAUUUUUUACUCACAGUGAGUAAAGGAAAAGGAAAUAAAAAUUUCCUCAGAUGUGUUUGGCUAAUGGGAAAAUAAUGUAAGAAAGUACAAAUUCUUAUGUUUAUUUAACUCAAAAGUCAAGAACAAAUUGACUAAUGCAUUUGUUAAUAGAAAUAUUCAAUAUUGAACUUCUUCAUUUCUAGUAUUUAAUAUAUAUAUAUAUAUAUAUAUAGACAUGCAACAAAUAAACUUUUUGCAUUGGAGAAGUUGUUUAUCUCAAAAUUAAUCACAUUCUUUACUCAUAAGUUUACACAGACACGCACAUACAUUAUAUAUGUGUAUAAGUUAUUUCACAAAUAUAUAGACAUAAAAAGGAACAUAAAAUAAAAAAAAAAUACAAAUGUCAUAAAAAUUCAACAAAUUGUUAAUUCAUUAAUUGUUAAAAUAACAAUAAAUGUUUAACUACAAGCUAAUUUUUUGAAUUGUAAAUUUUAAGAUAUUCUGAUUUAUGUAGAAGUUUAGAAUGGAGGAAAUAGUUAAGAAAGAAAGGAGUUGCAAAAGAAAUCUAUUUAAUUGAAACUUUCCCCUCACUCACUUUUUUUUUUUUUAUCAAUUUGAGCAGGAAAAAAUUUACAGAAAAAUGAAUGGUUACAAAAAAAAUUUAUGUAGUGGUGCCAUAAGUUUCCUGACAAAUAAACACACUCAAAACUUGUAGGAAAGUCAUUUUCCUUCCCUUUAUUCCUUGGCAAACAGACACUAUCUAAUCUAUUUCAUUGAAUGGGUCUAGGCAAGGGUAAAGUGGGAAAGAAACAACAAAUGACCCAACUUUUGCUACUAUACAUAAAAAGUACAAAUUCACAAUUUUGACAAAUAUUAUGGAACAAAGGGAGUAACUUUCAUGAUUUAUUGAGUGCCAUAACAAUUCUCUUUUUCCACAAUAGCAGUUCUAAAAUACACAUCCUAUUAUUUUGAAAUUUUUACACAAUAAAUAGCUAAGAUUUAAUGAGGUAUAUCAACAAUCAUUUUUACUUACAAUGUGGUUGACUGAGAAACGCAUAUGAGAAUAAAUGACUUGUAUUUGACACAAUUAGAUAUUAGUCAAAUAUAGGAUAAUCAAAUAUCAUCAUAGUGAUGAUGUUGGUAAGAUUUAUCUUAAGCUUAUUUUUAAUCUUAAUUCAUUCAUUUUGUUUUGGGUAAAAAACAAAAAAGCCCCCUGUGAUAAACCUAAUACACAGAAAAGCUCCCCAUGGUUUCAAAAUAUACAACACGACCCCUCGUGCUUUGAACUAAGUUGUAAAGGUGACGGAAUCCGUUAAACUUAACGGAAAUGAACUAAAUGACCAAAAUGCCCUGAUAUAAUAAAGCAAAAGACAACUCAAAAAAAUCAUUUGUUUAAUUCUCUAAUAAGAGAGAAUUGAGGGUUAAGGGGUAGAAUAGGUAUAUUGGAUAAAAAUUAGGUAUAAAAAUUUUUUUUUAGGUUCCAAUAAGUCAUUUCCGUUAAAUUUAACGGAUUCCGUCACCUUUAUAAUUUAGUUCAAAGUAUGAGGUUCCGUGUUGUAUAUUUUGAAACCAUAAGGGGCUUUUCUGUGUAUUAGCCUUAUCACAGGGGGUUUUUUUGUUUUUUACCCUUUUGUUUUCUUUCUUAUUCUUCCCAUCUCAUGUUUGAGAUAUGGUUUGUGGUAUCUCUAAUUAACUAACACAAGAAGUUAACCUUAAAUAUGCUAGAAAGGAAAUAAAAUUGUUUUUGAAUUAAAACCAUAAUUUCUCAAAUGAGAAUAGUUCAAAUUACAAAGGAACAAAUGCAUCAAUACAAACAUCUUUAGUAUACAUUUAUACUGAAAUUAGUCUAACACUCAAACUGAAGUUAUUCCUUUCUACUUUUUUUUCUACCCUUUUUUGCUCAUUUUAAGAAAAAAAAAUUAAGGGGUGUAAUAUGUUAAAUUUUAUAGUCCUUAAUUUAUUCUUUUUAAUAAGAAAUUUUUGAAAUCAUAAUUUGGUGUUUGAUCUAAUGAUUUAUUUUUUUAAACACCACAAAUAUGUUACUAGAAUUGUUUUAAAAUUUCACUAAUUUUCUAAAGUUCCAUAAAUGUUUAUCUAUUUUCAACACUAGCUCUCAUAACAUGACAUGUGGCUUAUCCUUUUAUUCUUUCAUAUUUCAAAACACAUUACAUGUAUAAUCCAGUCUUCCAUUUUAGUACAUUUAGCAUUAUAUUUUAGAGCAUUUAUUUAUCUCAAUAUGUUAAUGCAAAGCUUUUAAAUUGACCCAUGUUGAACCUCACAUUACCCCAAUCCUAAUGAAUUCAUUCAUCAUGAAAUAGCUGUAUUAUUUAACUCUUAACAAUCUCACAAAAUCGACUCGUGGAGUUGUUUGUGGGUUGGUCCAAAGAGCUCUUAUGUACAACAAUAAGGGGAGCUUUUAACUAUUCGCUGCAAGCAAUCAACUAAGAAGUCGUUGGAAGAAGACGAAGGAAUAGAGUUGAUGGUUAUCAAAAUUAAUGCAUUUGUCUAAUUUUGCUUUCGGAUUAGUCGACUUUGGAGCUCAUCUAGUUUGUACUAUUUAAUAAUAAUGGUAUUGUUGCUUUUAAUGAUCGAUCUACUUUGUUCUCAUAAAUAGCAUAGUAUUAUUGAUUUUUUGUUGUUGGUCAAAUAAAUAUCAUCAAUCUUAUGGUAGUUGAUUCUUCUAUUCUAUUCUUCAGGUAUGUCGUUGUAUGUUGGUCAAGGCGCCAACAUCUCUAGGCAUUGCACCUUCUGGUGCUCAAGAUGGUAGUCCGACUUGAUGGUGGCACAUUGAAUGCAUUGCUCUCCAAGAAGUUCCUGUGGAGGAAACUCUAAAGCUGUAUUUUUGAUAUGUUGCAGGGGAUGAGAUUGGAUGCAGGAGGACUAAUCCUGUCAAAAUUGGCAGGUAAGAAUUGAGGUCAGCCCUUCAGUCCAUAAGACUGUAGCUGUUGAAGACAAGAAGAAAUACAUGUUAGUUCAAAAAAUUGGAAAGUUGAAUUUAGAGGACCCAAAUUCAAUGAAUAGAGCACUAGUUUACUUGUCCAAACUCGUUGUGAUCUCCACAAUAUCCCCACAAAAUUGUGUCAUUGCUGGAGGUAUUGCUGGUGGUUUAGUCCAAAUAGAAGUUAUGUGUCAGGCUCGGAGAUUUAGCUGCCUGAGUUUUGGCUAGAAUCCAAAGGAAAUGAGCAGGAAUUGAGAUAGAGAAGAAGGAAGGGACGGAAGAGAGCGGGUAAUGAAAGAGAGAGAUAGAGAGAAUGAAUAACAGAAAGGAGAGAGAAGAAUAUUCAACUGGAAAUUUACUCAACAACCUUCAAUUACAAAAAGGGACUAUUUAUGCAAUUAUUUCUAACUAACUGCAGCUAAUGGAACAACUGUCAUUUAAGUCUAACGACAUAGUUUUCACCCUUUACUAACCAUACUCAAAACGCACACUCCACUGAAUAAAACGUCAACCUUCUUAUUGUGAAGUUCCUGACAAUACCUUCCCCUUAAACGAAGCUUGUCCUCAAGCUUGAAAUUCUGGAAACUGCUUGUCAAUUAAGCUCCUGUCCUCCUAAGAUGACUCUGAUUCUGGUAGAUCACUCCAUUUCACCAAAUAUUGAAUGAUUGGCUGAGUAUUGCACAUGAUAACUCGCCUCCUAAGAACCUUCUCAGGUUUCAGCAAGCAUUGAUCCGCUGCAUUUAUUUCUGGUAGAGUUGGUUCUACAGACUGCAUUGCAUGACUCCAAUCUUCUUUUUCAGCAAGGAAACGUGGAAUAUUGGAUGGAUUCUAGCCCCUUUUGGCAGUUUUAGUUUGUAAGCCACUGCCCCUACUUUCGCAAUGAUUUGGAAAGGUCCAAAAUACUUAGCAGCCAGCUUCAAAUUCUUGCGGAUAGCAACUGUUUGCUGCCUGUAAGGCUGUAGUUUAAGGAACACCCACUCCCCUUCCUGAAAAACCCUUUCAGUCCUAUGCUUGUCAGCAAUUUACUUCAUACGAUUCUGAGCUUUGGCCAGGUUCUCCUUGAUAAGGAAUAUAAUUUGUAGCCUUGACUGUACCAUGUCAGAUGCAACAGGUAUGAUACUGUCAUGAAAGGGUCCUAGAGGGAUAUGACUUGGUUUAUACCCAUAUAAGGCCUCAAAUGGUGUUAUUUGCAAGCUUGUAUGGAAGUUUGUGUUAUACCAAAGUUUAGCUGUAGGCAACCAACUGCUCCAAUGUGAAGGAUGUUCACUGCACAUGCACCUGAGAUAAUUCUCCAAGCACUGGUUAACUCGUUCACUUUGACCAUCUGACUGUGUAUGGUAUAAGGAACUGUAGUGUAGCCUUACUCCCAGCAAACUGAACAAUUCCUGCCAAAACUUACUGAUGAAGAUCCUAUCUCUAUCAGUUAUUAUUGAUUCUAGUAGACCAUGUAGCUUGUAUACAUUGUCGAGGAAAACCUGAGCUAUUUGUUGUGCUAAGUAGGGAUGAGUAAGCUUAAUGAAAUGGCUGAAUUUGGUUAACUGAUUCACCACCAUUAAGAUGGUGUCAAAUCUAUGGGACGAGGGAAGUUGUUCAAUAAAAUCCAUGGUUAGGUGUGACCAAGCUUGCUGAGGUACUGGAAUAGGCUACAACAACCCAGGAUAAGAGACAUUUUCAUGCUUGCUCCUCUGACACACAUCAUAGGACCUCACAUACUGGAUGACAUCCCUCCUGAUCCCAGGCCAGUAGAAUAAAGCCUGUACCUUUUGUAAGCAUUCUCUCUGGCCAGAAUGCCCUCCAAUUUCUAAGUCAUGCAAAGCUCGGAUUAAGUUGAUUCUAAUACCGUUAGCAGACCCCACGUAUAAUUUUUCCCUGAAUUUGAGCACUCCAUUUAAGAGCAACUCAGACAAUCUCUGUUGAGCUUCUUCAUCCCCAUUAUAGCUCUCAAGUAGUUCUUGCAUCCAAGCUAGUUGGACUGUAGAGAUGGUACAUGUCUAGUGCACCACUACAUUGCCAUUACUGACUUCUUCCAUUCUUCUUCUAGAGAAGGCAUCAGCUACUCCAUUGUCUGAUCCCUUCUUGUACUGUAUCUCAUAAUCUAGGCCAAGCAAUUUUGUAAGCCAUUUGUGCUGCAAUGGAUUUGUAAGCCUUUGCUCCAACAGGUGUUUGAGGGCCUGGUGAUCAGUUCUAAUAAUAAAAUGAUGGCCAACCAAGUAGUGCUUCCAUUUGGUUAUAGCCAACACUAGAGCAAACAGCUCUUUCUCAUACACUGACAGCCCAAGUUUCUGAGUUAACAAGGCUUUAUUGAGGAAAGCUAUGGGGUGCCCCAGCUGCAUCAGUACUACUUUAAUGCCUACUCCAUAGGCAUCAGUUUCAAUUACAAAAGGAAGCUCAAAGUUUGGCAUGCUCAGUACUGGGGCUGUAAUCAUAGCUCUUUUCAAAUCCUCAAAAGCCAUCUGAGCAUUAUGGUUCCACAUAAACCCCUCAUUUUUCAGCAGUUGGGUCAAGGGCUUACAGAUUAGUCCAUACCCCUUAAUGAACCUUCUGUAGUACCCAGUUAAACCCAAAAAUCCCCUCAAUUCCUUGAUUGUACUGGGGAAAGGCCAUGAUUUUAUACUCUCUACUUAGCUGAAUCCAUGCUUACUCCAGUCUCAGAAAUCACAUGCCCCAGGUAUUCUAUUGAAGUUUGGGCAAAAAAGCAUUUUGAUUUCUUACAGCACAGCUAGUUUUCAGCCAAAACUUUGAGCACUGUUUGCAGGUGUUGUGCAUGUGACUCUAAAUUUAGGCUAUAAAUCAAUAUAUCAUCAAAACAAAAAAAACUAAAACAAACUUCCUUAGAUAUGGCUGGAAUAUCUUGUUCAUCAGGGCUUGAAAAGUGGCAGGUGCAUUGGUCAGCCCAAAGGGCUUUAGUAGAAAUUCAAAAUGACCAUGAUGUGUCUGGAAAGCAGUUUUUGGUGUGUCCACUGCCUUAACUCUCAGUUGAUGAUAGCCAGCUCUAAGGUUUAGUUUGGACAUGUACUCGGCACCAUGCAACUCAUCUAGUAACUCAUCUAUAUUUGGUAUGGAAAAGCUGUUUUUCACAGUUAAAUCAUUCAAUUUCCUGUAGUCAAUGCAUAAUCUCCAGGAGUUGUCCUUCUUCCUAACUAAUAUCACAGGAGAGGCAAAGGGACUAGUGCUAUGUAUAAUGAUCCCAUUUGAAAGCAUUUUAGCAACCUGUUUUUCAAUUUCUGUUUUAUGGGAAUGGGGGUACCUGUAUGGUUUGAGUUUGAAGGGUUUAGCUUUUGGUUUAAGAACAAUCUGGUAAUCCAGCUCCCUCUUUGGGGGUAAUCCUUGUGGGGUGGCAAACACUUGGGAAUGUUGUUGCAGAACUUUCUCUAUAGUCUCAAGAAGGCUUUCCUCUGAAUCCCCUUUUAGUUCUGCCUGCAUGGUUGCCCAGCUCCUUUGCUUUUCCUGUAUGAAGGAUCUGAGGUCCUUUCUUCUCACCAGUCCCAUUGUAAGUCGUUGUACAAAGCCUUGAAGGUGUAGUAAAUCUCCUCUGCUGCUAAGAGCAAUGCUGAGAGUAUGGAAGUCGAAGGUAAUAGGGCUGAAUUGACAUAUCCUGUCCACUCCCAGGAUAAUAUCCCAUCCUCCCAACUCCAUUAUCUUUAGGUCAAACUGAAAUUGGUACUCUUGGAUUAGCCAGGUUACCUUGGGACAGAUUGCCCUAUUUGUUAUGUCUGUCCCAUCUGCUAAGGUCACAAUGAAGGGAUUGACUAAGUGAUGUGGCAGAUGCAGCAGGUUGACAACCUUAUGAUGAACAAAGCUAUCAGAACUUCCAGCAUCUACCAGAAUCUUGACUGGUAGUCCUCCCAGGUUACCUAUCAACACAAUGGAUUUCCUCUUUAUAGCUCCAGACAAAGCAUUUAGGGAUACCUCAGCAAGUAUCACCAACUCUACUUGUAUGCUCAUCUUGCUCCCCUUCUAUAUCCUCAAAGUCAGUUUCUUCUUCCUUAUCAACACCUAUACAGUUUAGGUUCCCUGUUUUGCACUGAUGGCCUACCCCAAACCUUUCUUCAUAUUUGUAACACAAGUUUUGUUUACGCCUAUACUGCAUUUCCUCAGCUAAAAUCUUACUGAAUUAUCUAUGUGUGGUAUCAGCCUUCUUGGAGACUGGAGCAACUGCAGGCAGCUUGUAUGAGUUGUGGUGAUUCUGUCCACUCACAGAGUUCCUAUACAUCCCAAACUUUGGUUCUACUACAAUCCUGUGAGAAGGCUUAGAUUGCUUUGACUGGGUGUCCAAGUAGCUUUCUUGCAGUUCAGCCACUUCAAAGGGUUUGGCUACUGUCUGUGGUUUAAACAUUUCUAUCAUAGGUUUGAUCUCCUCUUUCAAGCCACUAACAAAACUGGAAACAAAGUAGGAUUCAUCUAAUUUUGGAUUCCUGGUUAGCAUUGGGGUCUUAAACUCCUCGAACUUCUCCUCAUAUUCUUCUACUGUACCUUUUUGUUGCAAUUUAUUGAAUUCCUCUACUAUGUCAAGGGAACCUUUUCCAGAAAAUCUUUCGCACAACAACUCACUGAAUUUCUCCCAGGACAUCCCAGGUCUUGCUAAUUUCACCCCUUGGAACCAGUUAUCAGCUUUUCCCUCCAAGAACAUUUGAACCAACGCUACUUUCUAAUUCGCAGGUACUUGAUAAUUCAGAAAAUACUUGUGACAUUUUCUCAACCAUUCCCUAGGGUUACUAGAAGAAAACAUAGGUAGCUCCAAUCUGGCAAAUUAGGUACUAACAUUUUACCUCUGACCUGUUGGUGACCUACCAGCUCAAUUGGAGUCAUUAGUCUCAGAUGUGGGGGCGGGGUUGGUAGAAGUGGUUUUGAUGAUACUCCGUCACAGUCCUGUGGUCCUUUCUCCUUCAUCAUUACCUUCAACAGUGCAUUGAACUUUUGCUCCAUCUUGCUAAUUUUUUUAAUUCAGAUUCCCUACCAAUGCCUCCAACUUGGAGUUAUUGUGCUCCAUUUCAUCAUGAAUUUUUUGCUGCAACUUGUUCUAUCCAGAUGUCUGAAUGUGGCCAUGGUUUCUGCUAUCUCUUGUAGUCUAUUCUCUUGUUUUUUAAGCUGAUCUUCCAGUGAUCGAUACCUAAUGUUUUCCGCCAUGGUAGUAUCUCAAUAGCCAAGGAUCAGCUGUUCUGAUACCAAAUGUCAGGCUUGGAGAUUUAGCUACCUGAGUUCUGGCCGGAAUCCAAAGGAAAUAAGCAGGAAUUGAGACAAAGAAGAAGGGAGAGAGGGAAGAGAGCAGGAAAUGAGAGAGAGAGAGGGAAUAACAGAAAGGAGAGAGAAGAAUAUUCAACUGAAAAUUUACUCAACAACCUUCAGUUACAAAAAGGGAUUAUUUAUGCAAUUAUUUCUAACUAACUGCAGCUAAUGGAACAACUAUCUUUUAAGUCUAACAACGUAGUUUUCACCCUCUACUAACCAUACUCAAAACGCACACUCCACUGAAUAAAACGUCAACCUUCUUAUUGUGAAGUUCCUGACAUUAUGUACAAUAAAGGCAAACUUGACAUCUUGGUAAUUCAAUAACUACAAACCUAUUGGAAGAAGUUGGAGGAAAAAACAUUAUCGCUAAAGCAGUGAACGCAUCUGUGGCCUCUUGUGGACUUUCUCUUGGCAAAUUCUUGUGUCAAAGAUACAUGGAUAUACAAAGGCUGAAACAUGGCAUGGUGAGCCAAAUCCAAGAUAAAAAUGGAAAAAAUAGAGAAGAAAGUGUAAAAUACUACUAGUCCCACUAAAUCAAAAAUAGCAAGAUUAUAGGUUAUGUGUUUACUUUUUUGAAUUGUAAAAAUUAGUAUUACCAUUCAAAGAAAUAGAGAGGAGAAAUGGAUGUUGGCAUGUUUGCUUGAAUAGUUAUAUGUUUUAACUAUGACAAAAUGUUUGUUUUGACCUAUAUAAGCAAAGUCUCACUUAAUACCUUUCUCAUUAAUUUGUUUCAAGGACUGCUGUCUCGCACCACUCUAAGUAUAUUGUUCAAAGAAUUUUUAAUUCAUUAAUAUAUAUCCAAAAAUUAUUAGGCCAUCAAUUGUUAAAAGUUCAAAUUUGUUAUUUAGGAUCCAUGAUGUAUUCAUUCUAUUUACAAGGAAAAUAAAAUGCGACAUGGAGAGAAAUUUACAUUUUAUUUUACUUGAGAAUUUUCCUUCCGUUGUUUAAAGUUUCUCUAGACUAUGUCCAAGCUAUUCAUUAUCGUUUAUCACUAUAACACUAUUGGUGAUUAUUAUUUGAUUUUGUAGUUAUUAAUAUUAUGUUUUCUAUAAAAAAAAUUUCCAUUUGUGGAGGAUCAAUUGGAGUUUUCAUUUGCAUCAAUUGAGAAUAAUUGUAUAAUUUAGGGAUGCUUUUAGAAAUCUUUCCUGAGAUUUCUAAUAGUUUUAUUGCCCUCUUUUGAAGUUUUGAAAUAUUACUUACAUCCUCUGUUAGUUAUUUGGGACUCAAUGCUUACCUUAUCGAUGGUCAAAUGACUUUAUUACCUUUACAACUUAAGAGAUUUUACUUAAUUAUAUAGAGAGAAAUAAUUGAACCAAUUGUAACGAAAUUUAUCAUAAUUUGGAAUGUAAAAAUUUUGGAAAAUUUGAAUCCUAUCUUUUUUCUAUAUUUUAGUAGUUGUUAUAAAUUCUUCCCCUAAAGAAUAUAUUAAAAUUUAUGUUGAUAUAUUAUUUUUUCUUAGAAUUUCAUAAGAAUAACAAGAUCAAUACCAAAAAUACACAAUUAAAGAGGGUAAAGUGUUGAAAUACAUUUACAAAUUAGUCUUAUUAAGUUACGGGUAAAAUGUAACUACACAUAAUUUUUUUCCUUUCCUUUCUUUUUCAAAAAAAAUGGCAUUUAUUUUCUUUUCAGUGUCUAUAUAAUCCAAAAAAGAUGGCUUGAAAUCGAUUUUCUCCACUAUUAUUUCCUCUUUUUUUUUCCAAUAAAAUCAUUUGCUUUUUAUUGAUCUGAACAUUAAACUAAGUGUUGUUAUCUUUUGAUUACAAACAAUGGGAAUUUCUUAUUAAUCAUGUGAAAUAAUGGACUAUAAAUGAAAGAAAUAAUUUAAAAAAAAGGACAUCAUUUAGCAUAUUUUAUAUUUUUCAUGAUAAGCAAUAGAUUAUGGUGUUUCUUUUUGAAGAGGCCAUACUUUUUGUUGUCCAAUUCCUGUUCAAAUCUUACAAAUUCCAGUGCUAAAAGUUCACGAAUUGAACCUGCAACUCUUGAUUCCAAAUUAACAAAGUCUCCAUUCCAAUUCUUUGGUUUUACUAAUUUAUGUUGUUCCAUAGAAAAGUAGCUAGCUGUUACUGUUGAAUUCUACUAUGCUCAUGUUAGCGUUGCAAUUUCCUCCAGUUAUACGACACUCUCUGACUGUGGUGUUUAUUUUGCAUAUUUAACUAUUUUUCCCUUUUGAUUCUAAGUCCACUAACAAGUAAAUAGUUGAGAGGCAUUUGUGAAUUCAAAUGUUCUUCUCACCUUUGAAAUUAUUUGGGUUGAUUUGUCCCAAGAAAAUUAGUUUCAAAGGAGGUCACUGAUAUUUUUAAAACCUUUAAAAAGGCAGUAAAAUUAUCAGCAACCUCAACCUCGAGGGAAGUUUCUGAAAUUAUGUCCUUAUAAUUUAUGUUAAUGUUAAUUCCACUAGUGGUACAUUAUUCUCCCACCUUGUGUUGGUUGUUGUACUUGCAAAAGCUAUCGGGUUUUGUUUAGAGGUAAAUAUGAUAUUACAAAACUCGUCAGGUCCAAAUUGUAAAUUUGAGGGGUUGUCUUAGAUUUCUUCAAAUUUCUUUGGGCAGUCUAGAAAGCACCCUAUUAAAAGCGUUUCCUUAGCCGCGCCUUAUACGGCACAGCUGUUACUUUAUUGCACGUAUGAUGUUUGCAAAAAUUACUGAAAGAGCCUGUUAUCCACUGUUGCUUGUCUUUUUGGUCUUCAGAUCGUGGCACCAUAUGGGUUCUUGUAACGAAAUCCUCUGGACCCGAAUGGCGGCAAUGGGUGCAUUAACUUCCGGGUUGCAGCAGCUGCAGUUGAAGACUUGUCAGCUCUUUGGAACUUCUGAUCUGCAUCACUUUGAUAACAUCCUUCCCAAGAAACGAGCUUGUGAGUUUGUUAAUUAGUACCAUAUUCCCUUUUCCUUCUUAUGGGUUUUACGAUUCAUGUGGAACUUUUUCAAUUGUAUGUAAGUUAAAGAAUCUGUUAGGCAGCACAUUUUGAAGAGAGGGGGGCUUUGCUGUUCAACAGGAGUGAGCAUCGGGUCACUUCUGCAUGAAGUCAGCUGUAUAAUCUUCCGAUAAUAAAUUUCAAUCAUUUUUUAGCCUGACUAAAUCCCGAAACCAAGAAAAUUGAAGUUCAUUAUUGCUCAUUUCAAGCUCACAACGGAAGGAGGAGAGAACUUCAAUCGUGAUUAAUUUAGCAAAUGGGAAAAUGACGUGCCUCUGACCUGAUAGUCCAACAGUGAAAACGAAUCAAAAUAUUGUUCCUCUGUUUCUCAUUCUUUGUCGCAGCUACUUAUGUGUGUACAUCCACAUACAAAAUGAAGUCAAACUGCUUGUAAUUAAAGGAUGGUGUUUGUGGCGCUGUCUUUUUUAAAUUUCUUUUUGACGCAUAGAAUUGCACAUUGAAUUCUCUGCGUUGAAAUAGUCCCAUUAUCUCAGUUGUCUUAUCACUUUGUAAAUAUCUAGCUCUGAAGCCAUUGGUGAUUGAAGCAAAGGCCAAUGCGAAGACUGAGAGUGCAAAAACCCGAAACAUUAGAUUGAGAAAAAAGGUAUGCUUCUGUCUUUGGAAUUACAAAAUAUGCGUACUUGGAAAGAUAUGUUCAGCCCAUUGACAAGUAGGACUUUAGAUAUUUGUUUGUGGAGUUUGAGGAACUCAUUUUCAAUGAGCUUAUAGUGCAAGUUUCAUUUUUGAUGCUAUCUUAAUUUGUGGAAUAACUUGCUUAGUGUUCUUGCUUUUCCACUUAUCUUUGCAAAUAAUGGUUCUUGCGUCUCUUGACCAGUUUAAUGGCACAGCAACAAAACCAAGGCUAUCAGUUUUCUGUUCAGAUAAGCAGCUAUAUGCUAUGGUAGUAGAUGAUCAGAACAAAAGGUGUUUGUUCUACGGCAGCACUCUACAGAAAUCAAUUCGCCAGGAUCUAUCUUGCACCACCAUUGUCAGUGCUCCCUCUCAAAUUAACACCACAAUUCUCUACUCCCUUCCAAAUUAUGCACCAAAAUUUCAGUAAACUGGACGCAAUUGGAAACAUAUAAAUAGUUGAAAAAAUAGUAUUCCUUUUUCAUUCUUUCUUUUCAAUGCUUUUAAUUGGGAUAAGCUGAGUUUGUCCUUGACCAAAUGAGGUUUACUGUAUCGAAUAUAGAUCUGAUUUUACGCAAUUAUUAAUAUCAGGAAGCAGCUCAACGUGUUGGUGAAGAGCUCGUCAAGGUGUGCAUCGAUCUUGACAUAAAUGAAAUUUCAUCAUAUGAUCGCAAUGGUCUUGCAAGAGGAGAUAGAAUGCAGGCAUUUGAGAUUGCCAUUUCUCGUCAUGGGUUCUUGCCACGAUAACAUUGCAAUAUUCAGAUUAAUUGUUCUUAUUCACACUGGUUGUAGCAAGAAAAGGGGAGCCUGCAUGUUUGUGAGUUCUCAGAUUGUAAAAAGCCUCCAAAGGAUCCUACAUACGGUUUGAUAUAAUGUUUAUAUUACCUACUGCUGUUAGCCUGUUACUGGGUAUAGGUGCUUCUUUAAGUGCUUUUAUGUACUCUUUUUCCAGGCAGAAUGUUCUGCGAUACACUUGCUGUAUUCUUCUUCUUCUUCAUUUUUUUUUUGGUACAAGAAGUCAAAACAUGGUUAUAGGCUAGGAGGUUAGAUCACUUUCCAUAACGCACAAUAAGGAAAUAACUACUAAUUUCGUCCCAAUACAUCGACUACCAAGUUGAUCUAAAACAGAAAGUUAUUUGUCAGUGACAAACUGAGAUGAUGCAAACAAAUGUAUGCGUCCGGGAUGUCGUUGUUGCAGUACGGAGGUGCAUGAUAAAAACUACUAAAGAAGCGUGAUAUUAGUCUAUAGAAGAUAAUCAAACUCCUAAACUAGUUAAGAAUUUUGUGUGACUUCUAUCAUAAUGUGUGACUUCUAUUCAUUUGGUAAGCUAGUCUCCAUCUAUUUGUUUCAGAUUUUGACUAUGAAUUAAGGUUGGAUGGGGAGCAAGACCAGUUUAGUUGGUUUUUCUUUUAAAGAAUCUGAUCCCCCUUCCAAGGUAGAUGGAGCAAAGCAGAGGCCCAAGACCAAGAGAAAGAUGACAAGAGAGAAAAGAUUGAUAGGAACUUAACUCAUCUUCUAUUAAGUGGAUUAAGCUUUUCUUAUAGAUUAGUUGUACUAAUCAAUUACUAUAUCACAUUUGUAGGUUUUUUGGGGUAUAAACUAAGAAGCAACACCUUAGUGUUGCAAAAAAAAAAAAAAACUUAUAAGAAACUUGUAUUGAAAUUGAAAAUAAGCUUAUGCUAUUUAUUCAUCAACUCACUAUUUAUAGUAAUAAAUGAAGCAAAGUAACAAAAUAUCUAACUAACAAUUAUCCCAAAAACUCUCAAAAAAAAAAACACUUAAUGACAUAAUCUCCUACUCAACAAAUCUUAUCUAAAAUAUUUUUUAACAAACCACAUGUUUUUUAGUAAACAAAUAUCCUAACAAGAAGAUUUAUUUAACUACUAACUAAAUUAUUCUAAUAUCAAUCGUAAUCUAAUAAAAUCUAUCGAAAAAAUUGAUAUAUCUCAACACUCUUCCUUGCCACUUUUGCUGUAGAUUUUGAAUUGCAUUCUCAAAUUUUUGGAUCUUGUUUCGGAGAAAACUUUUAUAAGAAGCUCUACACAUGAUUAGCCUUGCAAUGAAUUUAUUCUUUUGGAUUUUUAUGCAAGCUAAAGAUUAGUCUUGCAACAAACCACUUCUUUUGUCUUCUCAUGCCAAACUUCAAAUAAAAGAUUUUUUUUUUUUAUGUUUCCAAAUAACUUUCUUAUAGGUUCAAAGUGGAACACUAUUCGAUAAUAUUUGAACUUGUACAGAAAAUAUGAAAUUCUACAUGAUUCUUCAUCACCAUCAAAACUUGUAGAUUCAAAACAACAAUAUUAUAAUCUUGAUAUCUAUCAGGAAUCAAUUUGGUACCUCCUAACUUAUUAAUGAUCUCUUGUUGAAUUUUUUAGGAUUUGAAUUCUUGAUUUCAUCAUGCUUUACUUCAGAAUUGUCAAAAUCCAACCAAUUCAUAAUGAAACUUUCUCUUUUCAUUUUAAUUGGAAAAAUUUAUUCUCAAUCAAAUAAUAAGCCAUUAUCCUUGUGAAAAUGGCAUCAAAUGAUAUGUGAAUGUUGGUCUUGGAUCUCUGUCUAACUACAACUCUACGGUUUUUAAUCUAUGUAUCCAUCGAUUUUUCAAAUACCGGCAAUACAAAAUUUGUGUCGCACCACAUCCCAUAGAUUAUUGACUACCAAAUAAGUCCAAAAUUUAAUGGCCUAAAUUUGGUGAGUUUCACCACUAAAAGUUGACACAUUUGACAAAAAAUACUUUCCUAUCAUGGUUUUGAAGUUGUAAAAAAUCCUCAUCGAAUGCACUCACUCUCAAAAAACAACACAGGUAUUAAGACAUAAUCUCUGAUAUUACUGUGUCAGUUUUUUUGGGGCAUAAAUUAAGAAACAAUAUCUUAGUAUUGCAAAAAAAAAAAAAAGGCUUAUAAGAGACUUGUAUUGAAACUGAAAAUAAGCUUAUAUUAUUUAUUUAUCAACUCAUUAUUUAUAGUGAUUAUAUGAAACAAACUAACAAAAUGUCUAACUAACAAUUAUCCUAAAAAAUCUCAACAGAACACUUAAUAACAUAGUCUCCUACUCAACAAAUCUUAGCUAAAAUAUUUAUUAACAAACCAUAUGAUUCUUAGUUAACAAAUAUCCUAACAACAAGAUUUAUUUAACUACUAAUUAAAUUAUUCUAAUAUUAAACAUAAUCUAAUAAAAUCUGUCGAAAAGGUUGGCAUAUGUCAACCACAUUGAUUUGAUUUUGCUUGAGAUUACAAACAUCAUUAGUAUAUGGUUGCAAACGAACCGAGCCGCUAGCUCGAGUUGAGUUCGAUCAAUAUCGACCUCGAGUCGAGCUUGAUCAAUUUCGAGCUCAAGUCGACCAAGUCGAAUUCGAUCUCGAACUCAAAUUUAAAAUAUUAAGCUUGUUAACCCGGCUUGCGAGUUCGAGUGUAUAUAUAUGUAUAUAUAUAUAUAUAUAUAUUAUUUUAAUAGUAAAAUUAUAUAUAUAUCCCCAAUAUUUUAUUAUUUAUUAAGAAAAAAUAAUUAUUUAUUUUUUUAAUUAGAAUAAUUUUCAGAAACUCGAGCUAACGGACUGCUCACGAGUCAAAAAUUUGAGCUACAUCACGAGCUAACAAUUCAAGCUGCUCGUAAGCCAAAAAUCGAGCUACAGCUCGCGAGCCUUAUGGAGUCGAGCUUGAGUUCGAACUCGAGCCUACCUAUUAUUAAGUUGAGUUCGGCUUGAUAAGUCCAAAAUUUGACUCGACUCGACUCGUUUGCAGCCCUACAUUAGUACCAUACUACCAUGUGACACUUGUUUGUACAUUUUUGUUUGUGUCGAAAUGGGACUUCUGCUAACUGCUUCUAUUAAAAAUUGAAGCAGGUUUAAAGACGAGAAUUGGUGUGAAAUAAUGUGGGAAUGCAAAUAAACUAAUUCACGGGUUAUGAUAGAGAACAUAAAAGCUAAUUGGCAGUAUAUAUGCUAAACUGAAUUCGAACUGCCAAAAAAAAAAAAAAAGACAUCUGCUGCGUUUGGUCAAAAUUUGCUUAACGAUCAAGGAAGUAUGGGACGGUAAAGAAAAAAACAAAAUAGCUUUGGAUUGAAAAUUCUAGCGUUUAAUACUAACCAUGGCACUGGCUUGUAUCUACUUUUAUGCUUACCCUAAAGACUUCUACUCUUAUACAAGAGCGGCAAAAGACCUCUACUCUUAUAUUAAAAAAACAGGACCCUCAAAGGCAGCUUUUCGAUGACAAGCACAUGAGAAGUAGAUUUCCUUGAGCAGCCUCUGGAUUGUGCUUGUGGUGGUGCUGGUGCUUUUGACAUUCUGGGCUACAAUGGUGAUGGACUAGGCGAUGUUGAAGAAUAUAUUAUACUGGAAAGAAAUUCACAAAAUAUGGGUGCAGAACUCCUCAAGGGUGUAAAUAUUAUAUUUAUAUCACCCCUGCUCUUACAAUAUAAUUUCUUCUUCCCUAUGCUUUCAUACAUUGACUACUUAACAAAUGUAGAUAUAUUUGCUUAUAAAACUUCGAUCAGUAGUUUACUUCUUCCCGCACAUUCAUCAAUGUUUUAUGAUCACCAGCCUCAAAUGGUUAUAUGAGUUAAACUUUCUAAAAUAUUUAACACCAGCACAACUAUGCAUUGAAAUGAUAAUAUAUUCGAGAGUCUUGGAAGGUGCAACCUAGCCCAAUUAUUACUACUGAUCAGCAAGCUCAACAGUCAAGACUUCUUCCAUUCUUUUGUUCCUAGAUAAUUUUUACCUACUUUCCUUCAAUGAAUUCUCACACCAAUCAUUCCUCCCUUCAUCAUCUCACCAUUAAUCUCUCAAAUUCUUCCAAUAAAGUUCAGUUUUGUGCCUAAACCAUAUGCGCAGGUUUGAUUUCUUAAUCUAAAAUAGUUUUUGUUUUUAUUAUUUCUGCAAUUUACUAAUGUUCUAGGUUGAGAUUUUAAAUCCAAUAUUGUAUUUGCUUUGAUUUUGCAGUUCUUAUACUUUCAAAGGCAAGUACUUACUUUCUUCAUCUUUUUCUUUUAUUUUCUUUCUUUUGAUUUCUUUUUCUUUUUCUCCAACCUUAUGCUUCGCAUUUUUAGCCGCAGCUUGAGUCAUGCCAUCUUUUCUUUAUCUCUCUCUCUCUCUCUCUCUCUCUCUCUCUCUCUCUCUCUCUCUAUUUUUUCCUUUUUCAGUCUUAUCAGCAUUGUUUACCAUAGCAUUUGGUUGAACAAUUAGUAGCAAUUUUUUUUUUCUUGAAGAAGUUUGUUUUCCAAUUUCGUGGACAAUAUUCAAUGAGAUUGUUACAUAGUCAUAUUGCGUCUUUGACUUGGGGUGGCUCCCACGAAUAUUAACUGAUGUGUGUGAUUGUCCCUAAGCUUUUGGCUUAGUAUGUCAGCACUAUUGUACAAGUUAUCUCUGUACCAGUUUUGGCUUUCUUUCUGCCUUAUGUCUACUGGUGGAUGCUGCAUUUUUUCUUAUCUAAAAGGAUUUUUUUCCUUAUAUUUCGUUUUGUGAUUUUAUGUAUUAUAUUUGCAUUAGGGCAGUGGGGAAGAAAUAUACUUUGUCUCAGGCUUGUCACAUUCAUAUACUUUGUUCAAGAAAUCAAAAUUUGUUAAUUGGCUAAAAGGCUAGAUCACUUCUCUGAACACUGAAUGAAGAAAUAUCGAUUGAAUUUUGUUGCUGAUGCAAACGAUUAAUAUGUACAGUUUUUGUAGAAACACCCCAUCAACAACUAACCAAACAGCGCAUAUAUGUGUGCCUCUCGGGGUGUCAUUGCUGCAAAACGGAGGUAACAUGAACAAAACUAGUAAGGAAUUUUAGAUUAACCCAAAGGAAAUCAUCGAACUCCUAAGUUGGUCAAGAAUGUGGUGUCUUCUAUCAUAAUAAAGAGACAGAAGUAAGCCAAUCUAGUGGUAUUUUCAAUUCCUUUCUGGUAAAAUAGUGACUGCUGAUUAAUUUGACUUUCUGAAUAGGUUUGUUCCAAUUGUUCUCAUCUUACGAGAUUUUCAUUUGGUGAAGUUAUCUUGAUAUAUUAGUUUUUAGAGUUUACCAUCAAUUAAGGUUGGAUAGAAGGAGCAAAAACAGUUAAGUUGGAGCAUCAUGCUCCCACACAUUUUGAUCGGUUGACGAAACUAGCAUGCUUAGGAAGAACAUGAGCAGCAUAUAUACUUAGUCAUAUGUUGAAUGAUAAUGAUGCUUGGCAAAUGCUUAUUUCAGAGAGUAAAGCAGGUUAAAAGAGAAGAUGUUUGACAUCCCACAAGUAUUUCUAGUGACUUUCAUAUGUAGUUCAGCUCAAAAUCAUUUCACUGGUCAAGCAUAGUACUAAUGUAGCUUAAUAUCUUAUUUACACAUUGAGUUUGAUUGUAGUUUAAGCCUUUCAAUAUUCCCUUAACUACUGAUGAAUAUUGUUUCUGAUCAAUUCUCAUUUUAUUUCCUGCCAACUUCAAAGUACCCUUGUCCUUGACAUGUAUAGCAAUAGCUAGAUUGUUACUACUGCUACCCUUACCCUCCUCACCUUUAACAUAACUCCAAAUUGCAGAAUAGCAGCAAGGUACUGGAAAUGGAACAAAUUCUUCACACGAAAGGAGGGGAAGAUGAGGAAAGCUAUGCCAAAAAUUCAGCAUUUCAAGUAAGUGAUACAUAUCAGAGGAAAGCUAUGCUAUAUAUAAUUCUGUGACUGAUCUCUAAAUGAGUUUCUACCCUUCAGAGAUUAGUGUUUAUGAAUGUCAACCAUGCACUCAAUCGGAGCAUUCAGGAGUUUUGUCAAGUUUACCUAGCAGAGGCAGAGUGCAUAAGAGUAGCAGAUCUGGGAUGUGCAUCGGGACCUUUGAAUGAGGACUUAGAAACCCUUGCAUGUGAAUACAUAUUCUU
rnacentral:lncRNA from 1 species